GCUUGCAGCAAAAAGAUCAAUGAUUGAUUCACUGUUAGAAGACGUUUGUCUUAUGGACUUUUCUUCUCUUUGUUAAAAACUCUGAACUGCUGAGCACUCCCUAAUGUGAUCAUACAGUAUUGGUAUUUGCAAAAACAUACUGUAUAUGCUACAGAAUUACACUGAUGUUGAUUUGUAAUUGAUUUUGUUUUUUGUUCUACUUGUUGCUUUUAAUAAGCCAGAUCAUUUCUUUUUUUUUUUUUGGAUUUACUGUACUAUUGAAUAUUUUUCUCUGGUGUAGGAUAAACAUCCACAGACUUGUCCGCUGAUGACAUGGAUGGACAAACUGUUGUUCCUGUCCUGUGUUUACGUGCUACAGUGCUGGGAGACCAACGAAUGUGUAUGAUUGUCGAUGAUGCAAAUAAAGAAAACAAGUGGUACA